CUCGGCUAAUGUGUCUUGGAUAAGGUGUCUUGGCUAAGGUGUCUUGGCUAAUGUGUCUCGGCUAAUGUGUCUUGGCUAAGGUGUCUUGGCUAAUGUGUCUUGGCUAAUGUGUCUUGGCUAAGGUGUCUUGGCUAAGGUGUCUUGGCUAAUGUGUCUUGGCUAAAGUGUCUUGGCUAAGGUGUCUUGGCUAAUGUGUCUCGGCUAAGGUGUCUUGGCUAAAGUGUCUUGGCUAAUGUGUCUUGGCUAAGGUGUCUUGGCUAAGGUGUCUUGGCUAAGGUGUCUUGGCUAAGGUGUCUUGGCUAAGGUGUCUUGGCUAAUGUGUCUUGGCUAAUGUGUCUUGGCUAAAGUGUCUUGGCUAAGGUGUCUUGGCUAAUGUGUCUUGGCUAAAGUGUCUUGGCUAAGGUGUCUUGGCUAAUGUGUCUCGGCUAAGGUGUCUUGGCUAAGGUGUCUUGGCUAAGGUGUCUUGGCUAAGGUGUCUUGGCUAAGGUGUCUUGGCUAAUGUGUCUUGGCUAAUGUGUCUUGGCUAAAGUGUCUUGGCUAAGGUGUCUUGGCUAAUGUGUCUCGGCUAAGGUGUCUUGGCUAAGGUGUCUUGGCUAAGGUGUCUUGGCUAAUGUGUCUCGGCUAAUGUGUCUUGGCUAAGGUGUCUUGGCUAAUGUGUCUUUGCUAAUGUGUCUUGGCUAAGGUGUCUUGGCUAAGGUGUCUUGGCUAAUGUGUCUUGGCUAAAGUGUCUUGGCUAAGGUGUCUUGGCUAAUGUGUCUCGGCUAAUGUGUCUUGGCUAAGGUGUCUUGGCUAAGGUGUCUUGGCUAAAGUGUCUUGGCUAAGGUGUCUUGGCUAAGGUGUCUUGGCUAAGGUGUCUUGGCUAAGGUGUCUUGGCUAAAGUGUCUUGGCUAAUGUGUCUUGGCUAAGGUGUCUUGGCUAAUGUGUCUCGGCUAAGGUGUCUUGGCUAAGGUGUCUUGGCUAAGGUGUCUUGGCUAAUGUGUCUCGGCUAAGGUGUCUUGGCUAAGGUGUCUUGGCUAAGGUGUCUUGGCUAAGGUGUCUUGGCUAAGGUGUCUUGGCUAAUGUGUCUUGGCUAAGGUGUCUUGGCUAAGGUGUCUUGGUUAAGGUGUCUUGGCUAAGGUGUCUUGGCUAAGGUGUCUUGGCUAAGGUGUCUUGGCUAAGGUGUCUUGGCUAAUGUGUCUCGGCUAAAGUGUCUUGGAUAAGGUGUCUUGGCUAGAGUGUCUUGGCUAAUGUGUCUCGGCUAAUGUGUCUUGGCUAAGGUGUCUUGGCUAAUGUGUCUUGGCUAAUGUGUCUUGGCUAAGGUGUCUUGGCUAAGGUGUCUUGGCUAAUGUGUCUUGGCUAAAGUGUCUUGGCUAAGGUGUCUUGGCUAAUGUGUCUCGGCUAAGGUGUCUUGGCUAAAGUGUCUUGGCUAAUGUGUCUUGGCUAAUGUGUCUUGGCUAAGGUGUCUUGGCUAAGGUGUCUUGGCUAAGGUGUCUUGGCUAAGGUGUCUUGGCUAAUGUGUCUUGGCUAAAGUGUCUUGGCUAAGGUGUCUUGGCUAAGGUGUCUUGGCUAAGGUGUCUUGGCUAAGGUGUCUUGGCUAAAGUGUCUUGGCUAAUGUGUCUUGGCUAAGGUGUCUCGGCUAAUGUGUCUUGGCUAAGGUGUCUUGGCUAAGGUGUCUUGGCUAAUGUGUCUUGGCUAAUGUGUCUUGGCUAAG